rnacentral:rRNA from 1 species
GACGAACGCUGGCGGCGUGCUUAACACAUGCAAGUCGUACGGUAGGGCCCUUUCGGGGGUACACGAGUGGCGAACGGGUGCGUAACACGUGAGUAACCUGCCCACAACUUUGGGAUAACGCUAGGAAACUGGUGCUAAUACUGGAUAUGUGCCCCUGCUGCAUGGUGGGGGUUGGAAAGCUCCGGCGGUUGUGGAUGGACUCGCGGCCUAUCAGCUUGUUGGUGGGGUAGUGGCCUACCAAGGCGGCGACGGGUAGCCGGCCUGAGAGGGUGACCGGCCACAUUGGGACUGAGAUACGGCCCAGACUCCUACGGGAGGCAGCAGUGGGGAAUAUUGCACAAUGGGCGCAAGCCUGAUGCAGCAACGCCGCGUGCGGGAUGACGGCCUUCGGGUUGUAAACCGCUUUCAGCAGGGACGAAGCUUUUUGUGACGGUACCUGCAGAAGAAGCACCGGCUAACUACGUG